GACGAACGCUGGCGGUGUGCUUAACACAUGCCAGUCCAACGGAAAGGCCCUGCUUUUGUGGGGUGCUCGAGUGGCGAACGGGUGAGUAACACGUGAGUAACCUGCCCUUGACUUUGGGAUAACUUCAGGAAACUGGGGCUAAUACCGGAUAGGAGCUCCUGCUGCAUGGUGGGGGUUGGAAAGUUUCGGCGGUUGGGGAUGGACUCGCGGCUUAUCAGCUUGUUGGUGGGGUAGUGGCUUACCAAGGCUUUGACGGGUAGCCGGCCUGAGAGGGUGACCGGCCACAUUGGGACUGAGAUACGGCCCAGACUCCUACGGGAGGCAGCAGUGGGGAAUAUUGCACAAUGGGCGGAAGCCUGAUGCAGCAACGCCGCGUGCGGGAUGACGGCCUUCGGGUUGUAAACCGCUUUCGCCUGUGACGAAGCGUGAGUGACGGUAAUGGGUAAAGAAGCACCGGCUAACUACGUG
rnacentral:rRNA from 1 species